rnacentral:rRNA from 1 species
GACGAACGCUGGCGGCGUGCUUAACACAUGCAAGUCGAACGGUAAGGCCCUUCGGGGUACACGAGUGGCGAACGGGUGAGUAACACGUGGGUGAUCUGCCCUGCACUUUGGGAUAAGCCUGGGAAACUGGGUCUAAUACCGGCUAGGACCAGGGCAUGCAUGUGCUGUGGUGGAAAGCUUUUGCGGUGUGGGAUGGGCCCGCGGCCUAUCAGCUUGUUGGUGGGGUGAUGGCCUACCAAGGCGACGACGGGUAGCCGGCCUGAGAGGGUGUCCGGCCACACUGGGACUGAGAUACGGCCCAGACUCCUACGGGAGGCAGCAGUGGGGAAUAUUGCACAAUGGGCGCAAGCCUGAUGCAGCGACGCCGCGUGGGGGAUGACGGCCUUCGGGUUGUAAACCUCUUUCAAUAGGGACGAAGCGCAAGUGACGGUACCUAUAGAAGAAGCACCGGCCAACUACGUGCCAGCCGCCGCGGUAA